UACGGAGGGAGCUAGCGUUGUUCGGAAUUACUGGGCGUAAAGCGCGCGUAGGCGGCUUUGUAAGUUAGAGGUGAAAGCCCGGGGCUCAACCCCGGAACUGCCUUUAAAACUGCAUCGCUUGAAUCCGGGAGAGGUGAGUGGAAUUCCGAGUGUAGAGGUGAAAUUCGUAGAUAUUCGGAAGAACACCAGUGGCGAAGGCGGCUCACUGGACCGGCAUUGACGCUGAGGUGCGAAAGCUUGGGGAGCAAACAGG
rnacentral:rRNA from 1 species